ACUUUUUAAAAAAGUCAUUUUAAGGUAGGUAAAAAUGUUAAUAAGUCACAUAGAAGAAGAGGAGCCCGGAUCAGUUAAAUAGUAAAAGGUGGAGAACCGCUGAAUUACCAGGAAAGAGCCUGGGCAUUUCCACAAUUAUCUAGCUGGUAAUCGACCUUUCCAGAACAUAUUAAUUUAUCAUCAAGGUGCUGUAGCUGAUUUUCAGCAAUCAGUUUCCACUUAUCAAGCUCCUACUAUGUUAGGCUUACAGGGUAUACAAUAAAAAGUAAGAUAGCCUCUGUCCAUAAAGCAGGAUGCACUAAUUAUUCUAAGUCAGGUAGAGAAACGGUGUUUCUGGCUGAGGAGGAAAAGCGAAUUGGGAAAUUUUUGCAAGGGGUAGAUAGCCUAAGAAUAUUUUGACAGCUGAAGGUGAGGGAAAGGACAUUCUAGCAGUAAAUAACUUGCUCUAAGUGUUAGAUGCAAAUUAGGAAGCGGUUUGGAAAAGGAGUACAGUAUUUCUAUUUGGCUUAAUAACAGUAAUUUGGUAUUAAUUCACAAUCAUUCCCACAGUGGUAAGGUCAAUCUCACAUGGGCAAAAAAUAUCCCUUACAGUAGACUUUUGGCUAUGCAACCCCUUCUUUCAAGAUUUCUCACUUGAUUUGCUGAGUUAAAGGCCAUAAACCCCACCCCCGAAAAACACACACCCACACAAAAUGUUUAGGGUAAACUCAUCUAAUUUAAGCCUAGAUUUCCUUCCAAUAUUUCUUACAAAUCGUGUUUUUUUUCCCUUCAAAUCAUCACACCUUUACUUUCGAAGGGCUGCCAGCAACCCAAACGUAUUAUCAUUUCCCCUAAUUUAGAAGAAAUUAGGGUGCUUUAUGCAGAGAAAGGAAAGCAAUCUCAAACAUGGUUAUACUCAUUUCCCUACUACUGCCCAAUACCAAUCUGUUUUCAACCUAGUAAUUCUACUUUACUCCUUCUUACUUGAUCAUGCCUUGGUUCAUGUUUUCUGCACUUGUAAGUCUCCAAUUUCUUCAUUUCAUCGAAUUAAUCCUAUCCACUCUCUAAGCCCAGCUCAUUUUCCACUUCCUCAAAGUGUUCUCUGUUGAGUCUAAAUCCACAUUUCCUUUGAGCUUCUACAGCACUUCAGGUCAGCAACAUUUCACACUCCAAUCGUCUCUGUAGGUUAGCAUAAUAUUACCAUCCAGGCUAAAAGUUCUUUGCUGACAGUGACCAUCUUUAGACUAUAGUGAAGUACUAGGCAUAGAAUAGGCACUUGGUACUAUUUUAAUUAAAAAAAUUUUUUUAAUGGCCACACCCAUGCCAUAUGGAAGUUCCCAGUCCAAGUAUUGCAUGCAAGCUGCAGCUGCAACCUACGCCUUAGUGGUUGAACCCAUUGACUGGAGCCACUGCAGUCGGAUUUUUAAAACUACUGUGCCACAGCAGGAACCUCUAAUAAUUAUUUUUGAUGAAAUUAAAUUAUAUUCACUCUUAGUCACAGAAUUUGAAACCUCAAAUUAUCACCACCUCAGAUUUUCACACUAUUUAAAAAUAAGAUUUGCACAUGAAUAAAACUGCCCUACUGUACUGUGGUGGAGAAACUAACAUACAUUUACACAUAUAACAUACAUUUAUGUAUAUGACAUAAUCAUGAUCAAAAACAGUAGCCAUUCUUGAUUCUCUACUCACUUUUUGUGUGUGUGUGUGUGUGUGUGUGUGUGUGUGUCUUUUUGCUAUUUCUUUGGGCCGCUCCAGCGGCAUAUGGAGGUUCCCAGGCUAGGGGUCAAAUCAGAGCUGCAGCCGCCGGGCUACGCCAGAGCCACAGCAACGCGGGAUCCGACCCGCGUCUGCAACCUACACCACAGCUCACGGCAACGCCGGAUCAUUAACCCACUGAGCAAGGGCAGGGACCGAACCCGAAACCUCAUGGUUCCUAGUCGGAUUCGUUAACCACUGCGCCACGACGGGAACUCCUCUAGUCACUUCUGAUCCAAUUUUGGCAGUAGGAGAGAUUUGGCUUUGCUUACAACCAACGGAUUAUAACUGAAGGAUUUGUAAUUCAAAUCCUUCAGAGUAUACACCUUUAAAGUGUGUUGUCAAAUCGUGAAUACAAUAUAAUUUUGUUCAGUUUGAAAUAAAGUGAAAUUUGAUGAGAGAAAACUGGAAUUCUUCAAAUUGAAUCCUUAGUUAACCUGAAUUUGUCUUGCGCUCUAAGAAAAAAGUCAAUUUUAAGAAAAAUUACAAUCAAACACUCUCUGGAUUUUAUGGCUUAAAACACAUUGAACAUAACUCUUAAAAUUUCUAUACCUAUUAUUACAUAAUAUAUGACGAUAUAACUCAGUUUCUAUACCUAUUAUUACAUGACUUGAUAAUAAAUGCUCACAUAAAAUUUAAUGAUAUUCAGCAUACUGUUUAAUAUACUGAAAAUUAUAAUUUUUAUUAAUAUUUUAGAAAAUAUUCAAACGAGGUUUAAGAUCAUUGUAAACUUCAGUUAACUAAAUUAUCUAGUACUCCAUAUUGUCCCAUUAAUUCAAUUAAAUGCUUUAUCUGAUAAACAUUUUAAAGUUUCUUAUUUUUCAUUUACAGUGAGUGCCUCUCCUCCAACUUUCUGUGGGGGUUGUUUUCCUUUUUGUUGACUGUGUCUCAUACAGUCAAGCUGACAGUUUGACAAAAGAGUAGGAAUUUUUUCUAAAUCUAAAAUUUUUUUCUAAAAUGGAAAGUUAAAUACGUAACAUCCCAAAUUCUAAGGUGAUAAAUGAGGUUUCCAUAUAAAUUUGUAAGUUCAACUUUUCACCUUUGCUUUAAUCAAAAUAAUUAGUACACAGAAUUAUUCACAAAAUGAAUACAUUGGAGGCUGACUCCGUUCUAGGAUUAUAAAAACUGGGGACAAUACAGAUCCAAAUUCAAUCUCUUACAGUUUAAAACUAAUACUUGGAAAGAGUAACUUGCUUAAGUUGACACAACUUUUAGCAAAGCCAGUUUUUAAGUAUUUGAAUAUGACCACAUCUAACUUCUCUAGAAUAGAAACAAUUUUGAGCAUUUGUUUAUACUGUUAUUCCUCUGGCAAAGUAGCCAAGCUACCUAAACAAUUCUUUAGGGUAAUAUUUGCAAACAUGAAUUUUAUUAUACUGAAUUAUAACUUUUUGUUAUGCUUCAUUUCAUGGUCUUCUAAGCCAGUGGGAAAGCUUAAACUUCUCUUACAUGCUCAAUUGUUAUCUAAAUAAAAUGCAUUUUGAUGACAUUGAAGAGACUGGUAUCAGGGGCAAAUGCCUCUGAACAAAGUGACUUCUUGUAUGAAUAAAUGGCUGUACACGCAUUACUGAAUGAGAUUCAAGUGAUGGACGUUUCAUUGUCUGAUACUUUAAAAGUGAGGUCAAAAUGAUAGAACAAAAUUUACAGAUUCUCAUGUUUAGAAUCAUCAAAUUAAUCUAAUGACCAUCUUCAGUUUUAUUUUAUAUUAUUUGAUCUUCUACAUUAUUCUUAAUUUUUUUUUUUUUGUCUUUUUGCCAUUUCUUGGGCCGCUCCCGCAGCAUAUGGAGGUUCCCAGGCUAGGGGUCCAAUCGGAGCUGUAGCCACUGGCCUACGCCAGAGCCACAGCAACGCGGGAUCCGACCCGCGUCUACACCACAGCUCACGGCAACGCUGGAUCGUCAACCCACUGAGCAAGGGCAGGGACCGAACCCACAACCUCAUGGUUCCUAGUCGGAUUCGUUAACCACUGUGCCAUGACGGGAGCUCCUAUUCUUAAUUCUUAUAUGCUUUUUUUUUUGGUCUUUUUAGGGCUGCACCCGUGGCAUAUGGAAGUUCCCAGGCUUAGGGGUCUAAUUGGAGCUGCAGCCGCAGGCCUAUGCCACAGCCACAGCAAUGGGGGAUCCAAGCCAUGUCUUCAAAUUACACCACAGCUCACGGCCACACUGGAUCCUUAAUCCAUUGAGAGGCCGGGGAUCAAACCCCAAACCUCAUGGUUACUAGUCAGAUUUGUUCCUACUGCACCACAACGGGAACUCUGAGAAAUUUCAUCUUUUCAACUAUGAGAAAGUAUAUAUAAAAUAUUGAAUAUUAAAAGUAAACACUUUGAAAACACAGAAAAGGUUGUAAACUUAAGUCUUCUGAUAAAAGAAUUCUAAAAAUUCUGACUUACUACCAUGUUAAGUAAAUCAGAUUUGUUAAUUCAGUAUCAACUUAAAUGUUUAUUGGAUAUCUACUAUGUGUCAGGAAAGUAUUCAAUUUAAUUUUAAUGUCCUUACUAAAAUUGUGUUACUUGAACUACAUUAAAUGUCACAAAUUAUAAAUUUACACAACCCAUACAUGAAUAAAUAAAAAUUAUGAAAAUUUAAACAGCACAAUUUCAUUUAAAAAUUGUCGUACUAAGACAGGAAGUGAAACAAGAUGAAAAGUAAGCUUAGCCAAAAAAAAAAAAAAAAGAAAUUUCUAAUAACUUUAGACCUCUCCAUCAUGAGUAAUUAUGUGGGCAGCCCUAGAUUGAAGAUGAGGUUAUAAGACGAUUUCAUCAUUCUCAUGCUUUCUUUUGCAGGUCUCUGGAUAAAUUCUAUCAAGCAGUUACCUAUUUAAAGCUAAGUGUUGAUACUGUGCUAUGUGUUGUAUUUAGAAUCCUGAUGUCAAAAUCCUACACUAAUGCAAUGAUAUAUUUCAGGCUUUUUCCUUGUUUAAAAAAGAGGGUGAUCAGUAUUACGGGCAGUAGCAGUUAAUUUUAGAAAACAUUUUGAAAAUAAAAAUCUUUGAGUAGCAAAUAUCAGGUAUACGACCAAGGAACACAUUUUUAAAUUAUAGAACUCCCAACUGUUUUAUUAACAGGUAGGUCAUGCCUAGUUUGGGAGGCAUUAACUAUGAAGAGCAUUAAGAGGCCACCAGGUGAAAUUGAUCAGAAAGCCAGCAGAGUACUGAGUUAAUUUGGGAACUUCAAGCUGGAAUUCAGAAGCCAGAUGAUUU
rnacentral:lncRNA from 1 species